rnacentral:rRNA from 1 species
CGUUCACAGGCCUUGUACACACCGCCCGUCACACCAUGGGAGUUGGUUUUACCUUAAGGCGGUGGGCUAACCGGAAGGGGGCAGCCGACCACGGUAGGGUCAGCGACUGGGGUG